UAGGGAAUAUUGGUCAAUGGGCGCAAGCCUGAACCAGCCAUGCCGCGUGAGUGAUGAAGGCCUUCGGGUCGUAAAACUCUUUUCUGAGGGAAGAACAUCCUGCGUAGGAAAUGACGCGGGCUUGACGGUACCUCAGGACUAAGCAACGGCUAACCCCGUGCCAGCAGCCGCGGUAAUACGGAGGUUGCGAGAGUUGUUCGGAAUAACUGGGCGUAAAGGGAGCGCAGGCGGUUGGGUAAGUCUAAAGUGAAAGCCCGGGGCUCAACU
rnacentral:rRNA from 1 species